AACGACAACAAAAAGACAUUUUUAUUACUUGGUAAUGACUUCUGUUAAGUCAAGAAUUUGGAUCUCGCAAUGGUUGGAUUGUAGCUUUUCAUUUUGGAGAUGGUGUGAUGACUUAGGUGUACGCUUAAUAUGACCUAAAAAUUAUUUAUUUUAUUUUAAAAAUUUUGUAAAACCUUCUUGUGUUGUUUUUUUUUGCAGUUUGAAUAAAUUUUUUU
rnacentral:lncRNA from 1 species